rnacentral:rRNA from 1 species
GAUGAACGCUGGCGGCGUGCCUAAUACAUGCCAGUCGAGCGAACAGAUGAGGAGCUUGCUCCUCUGACGUUAGCGGCGGACGGGUGAGUAACACGUGGAUAACCUACCUAUAAGACUGGGAUAACUUCGGGAAACCGGAGCUAAUACCGGAUAAUAUAUUGAACCGCAUGGUUCAAUAGUGAAAGACGGUUUUGCUGUCACUUAUAGAUGGAUCCGCGCCGCAUUAGCUAGUUGGUAAGGUAACGGCUUACCAAGGCAACGAUGCGUAGCCGACCUGAGAGGGUGAUCGGCCACACUGGAACUGAGACACGGUCCAGACUCCUACGGGAGGCAGCAGUAGGGAAUCUUCCGCAAUGGGCGAAAGCCUGACGGAGCAACGCCGCAUGAGUGAUGAAGGUCUUCGGAUCGUAAAACUCUGUUAUUAGGGAAGAACAAAUGUGUAAGUAACUAUGCACGUCUUGACGGUACCUAAUCAGAAAGCCACGGCUAACUACGUG